CUUGAUCUACAGAGAGGAGGAAAUGAAAACUUGUUUUUUCUUCGUUGUGAUUCUUAUUUCAGUAUUCAAAUCCGUUGAAUCACAAUGCGUUCACCUUGGGAGACUGUAUGAGCCGGAAGUAAGCUUCCCAAAGGGUGAUGGUUGCAAUGCCUGUAAAUGUUCUGAUUCUGGAAGAGUAAGGUGUACAGAUAGAAGGUGCCAUGAAUAUCCAAAAUGUCGUCACAAUGGUAAACUGUAUGAGGCUGGGAGUCGUUUCUCUGCCAGAGACGGGUGUAAUGAGUGCACAUGCACUACCAUAGGAGUCCCACAGUGUACAAUGUACAAUUGCU